UGCGGGAUCGUCUAAUGGUAGGACUGCAGAUUCUGGAUCUGCGUAUCUUGGUUCGAGUCCAAGUCCCGCAG
rnacentral:tRNA from 1 species